rnacentral:rRNA from 1 species
AGUGGCGGACGGGUGAGUAACGCGUGAGAAUCUGCCUUGGGGUCGGGGACAACCACUGGAAACGGUGGCUAAUACCGGAUAAGCCGAUUGGUGAAAGAUUUAUUGCCCGAAGAGGAGCUCGCGUCUGAUUAGCUAGUUGGUGAGGUAAGAGCUCACCAAGGCAGCGAUCAGUAGCUGGUCUGAGAGGACGAUCAGCCACACUGGGACUGAGACACGGCCCAGACUCCUACGGGAGGCAGCAGUGGGGAAUUUUCCGCAAUGGGCGAAAGCCUGACGGAGCAAGACCGCGUGAGGGAGGAAGGCUCUUGGGUUGUAAACCUCUUUUCUCAGGGAAGAAGCUCUGACGGUACCUGAGGAAUCAGCCUCGGCUAACUCCGUGCCAGCAGCCGCGGUAAUACGGAGGAGGCAAGCGUUAUCCGGAAUUAUUGGGCGUAAAGCGUCCGCAGGUGGCGAUUCAAGUCUGCUGUCAAAGCACGGGGCUUAACUCCGUAAAUGCAGUGGAAACUGAAUAGCUAGAGUGCCGUAGGGGUAGAGGGAAUUCCCGGUGUAGCGGUGAAAUGCGUAGAGAUCGGGAAGAACAUCGGUGGCGAAAGCGCUCUACUUGACGGCAACUGACACUCAGGGACGAAAGCUAGGGGAGCGAAUGGGAUUAGAUACCCC